rnacentral:rRNA from 1 species
CGCUGGCGGCGUGCUUAACACGUGCGAGUCGAGCGAGGAGGCCGAGCUUGCUAGGUGGAUGAGUGGCGAACGGGGGAGGAAUACGUGAGUAACCUAGCUUGAACUCUGGGAUAAGGCGGGGAAACUGGGGCUAAUACCGGAUACUACCAAUCUCCGCAUGGGGUGUUGGUGGAAAGCGGUAUGUAUGGGUUAUAGAUGGGCUCGCGGCCUAUCAGCUUGUUGGUGAGGUAACGGCUCACCAAGGCGACGACGGGUAGCCGGCCUGAGAGGGUGACCGGCCACACUGGGACUGAGACACGGCCCAGACUCCUACGGGAGGCAGCAGUGGGGAAUAUUGCACAAUGGGCGCAAGCCUGAUGCAGCGACGCCGCGUGAGGGAUGACGGCCUUCGGGUUGUAAACCUCUGUUAGCAGGGAAGAAGAGAAAUUGACGGUACCUGCAGAGAAAGCGCCGGCUAACUACGUGCCAGCAGCCGCGGUAAUACGUAGGGCGCGAGCGUUGUCCGGAAUUAUUGGGCGUAAAGAGCUUGUAGGCGGUUUGUCGCGUCUGCUGUGAAGGCCGGGGCUUAACCCCGUGUAUUGCAGUGGGUACGGGCAGACUAGAGUGCAGAAGGGGAGACUGGAAUUCCUGGUGUAGCGGUGGAAUGCGCAGAUAUCAGGAGGAACACCGAUGGCGAAGGCAGGUCUCUGGGCUGUAACUGACGCUGAGAAGCGAAAGCAUGGGGAGCGAACAGGAUUAGAUACCCUGGUAGUCCAUGCCGUAAACGUUGGGCACUAGGUGUGGGGGACAUUCCACGUUUUCCGCGCCGUAGCUAACGCAUUAAGUGCCCCGCCUGGGGAGUACGGCCGCAAGGCUAAAACUCAAAGAAAUUGACGGGGGCCCGCACAAGCGGCGGAGCAUGCGGAUUAAUUCGAUGCGACGCGAAGAACCUUACCAAGGCUUGACAUAUACUGGACCGCAUCAGAGAUGGUGUUUCCCUUCGGGGCUGGUAUACAGGUGGUGCAUGGUUGUCGUCAGCUCGUGUCGUGAGAUGUUGGGUUAAGUCCCGCAACGAGCGCAACCCUCGUUCUAUGUUGCCAGCACGUUAUGGUGGGGACUCAUAGGAGACUGCCGGGGUCAACCCGGAGGAAGGUGGGGAUGACGUCAAAUCAUCAUGCCCCUUAUGUCUUGGGCUUCACGCAUGCUACAAUGGCCGGUACAGAGGGUUGCGAUACUGUGAGGUGGAGCUAAUCCCUAAAAGCCGGUCUCAGUUCGGAUUGGGGUCUGCAACUCGACCCCAUGAAGUCGGAGUCGCUAGUAAUCGCAGAUCAGCAACGCUGCGGUGAAUACGUUCCCGGGCCU